GUUUCAGACAAACGGAUGAAGCUGGUGGUUUAGGAAGCAACACUGAUAGCUGUGAUACAGACCUGGCUCGUGUUGGUCCACAAGAGAGCUGCUCGUCGAGGUGAUAAGCCUGUAAUCCGUUGUACUCCAAUGUUAACCCGGGAUAGGGAUAGGAUAGUGAAUCUGACCUACAUCUACAACUGCAACAACAUAGAUGCUCUGUGGAUGGUUUGAAUGAAAAGAGCACCUUUCGCCAGGCUUGUGCAGACGUUCAGGAGCGAAGGGCUACUACAGGAUAGCAUCCACACCACCGUGGAAGAGCAAAUUGCCAUCUUCCUCCAUGUUGUAGGUCAUAAUCAAAGGUUCAGUGUUAUCUACAACACUUUUAGGAGAUCAUUGGAGACCAUUUCCAGGUAUUUCAGGCAAGUGUUGUAUGUUAUUGGGGAGCUUAGAGAAGAGAUGAUCAAGUCACCAACCGGGCAAACUCCUAGCAAGAUUCACACUAGCCCAAGAUGGUAUCCAUAUUUCAAGGUGAGCACUACUCAUAGUUCAUGCCAAUGA
rnacentral:rRNA from 1 species